rnacentral:misc_RNA from 1 species
CCACUGUCCAGCCUCAGCCCCCACCACCACCACCACCACCGCCACCAGCACCCCGCAGGUGCACAGAGCGGGCACACGGGCACUGCGCACACAAUCGUUCACGCCUCUUGCCCUCGGCGCUGCACGGCUCUCACACUCACGCACUCACCGGCGCGUUAUCGUAUUCGAUCCGCCUCUUCCUGCAAGGCCGUCGGGACCCAACGCGCUGUCCGCCGCUGCCACGCCGAUUUCUUGCCGUUUGCGCGCCAGCAAGGACACCGUUGGCGGCAUGCUGGGCAGCUCCGCCAAGGCGACGCGGCGUUUUGUGAGGGCGGCCGAGCAGGAGGUGGUGAAUGCUCAGCUGGACAACUUCGAGCGCUUGCACCCGGCACUGAGCAUAUUCGCCAGCCAGCGCGACCGGCGUGCCUCCGGCGCCCUCUCCGACUCCUCCCUCGGCAUCCUCGGCGCGCGUUAUACGUCGCCCACGCAGACGCCGCCCCCCCUCUCAGUCCCCGCAAAGCACACCGGCGCCAAGCUGCAGGGUGGCAGGGCACGCGUGGAUCGACUGACGGUGCCGCCGUUUUGUGGGGCAGCCGUGCACGGGGAGCGCUCUCUCUUGGCUGAAGCGCGGCAGGUGCAGCAAGCCGUGACGUGGCUGCGUGAGUGCCCCAGUCGCACCUUGCAGCGGCUUCAGCAACGCGUCCUGUGCACGGCAGAGGUCCCUUUCACCCAGUUGAUCGGCAUGCCCCUGGCCGCGCGUCAAGUGUUCGAGCACAUCGCCGCUGCAAGCCAGCCGGCAGCAGCAAAGAAGAAUGCCAGCACUGGCAGCAGCGACGGCGACGAGGACGACGACGAGGACGCGAUGGGGCCGCAGUACGUGCUGCCGCCGCAGCCUCUCACAUUCUCCGACUUUGUGAGCAACUUCCUGCUCGACAGUCCGACUGGUGCCGCUUCGCCGUCGCGUGCGCUGCCAUUCAGCCUUGUGCUCCUCAGCGGGCGUCCGCAGCCGGUGGCGCCGCUAACGUCGCUGCACCUUGUCUACGGUCUUCACGUUGUCGAGGAGGUGCUGCGGCGACCGGGUCUCUCGACAUCCGCGCCAGAGUCGGCUCGGUUACCGACGGUGGCAGUGGGGCUGGAAGACCAUCAAGCCCUCCUUUCGGAGGUGGUGCACUGGUCCACCUUCUUCGAGUCGGUCUUCGACAGAGCGAGGGAGGGGCUCUGCAGGGAUCCACUGAACCUCUACGCAGCGGUGCUGCUGGCCUGUGCGGAGCGCGGCGCCUGGGAGCUGCGCAACACGGCCGACGCCCUCGCUGAGGAGGCGGUUCGGAUGCUGAAGCUCAGCGACGCUGCCAGCGGGCGCCGCCCCGACGUGUGCGUAGCGUGCCGUACGGAGGCGGCGCACCUCGCCGACAGCUGCCGAAGCUAUGUGAAGCGCACCCUGCGCACCGUCGCAGCUCCUCAGCACGCAGCCAGCCACAGCCACAGCCACAGCGGCAGCAGUACCAAGGGUCGCAAGAGCUCAGCCUCGAGUCGCGGCACUGCGCCUGUCACACGGUUCUUCUUAGCCACGCCUGCAGUGGUGUGGUGGGCUGCCGCCUUCCUGCGGCUGUAUCGACUGCGCGCACCGGUUGUAGCGCCGCGUCGAGCACCGGCCGUGAAGAGGGUGAGCGGCACCUCGACGACUCUGUUCGGCGAUGACGCGAAGAAAGAGGCUGCCGCAGCGCCGGCAGCCGUCGAUGUGGUGAGUAGUGCGGAGGCGUACUUCAUUCGUGACUGGAUAGCUCAGGCUGCCAGGAUGGACAGAGAGGGGUUCAUUGAGCAGGAGGACGCCGGCUGCCUCUGCAUCCCACUCAGUUGCGCCACCCACGCCCCCGUCGCGGUACUCGGCUUCACGCAGGAGAGCGUGCAGGCUGCGCUGGAUCGCAUGACGGCGUGGGUGGAGGCUGGCGUCCUGGCCAACACGCCAUUGCGUGUUGAUGAGCUGCUCGCGGCACUGCAGGACGAGUACGCUGUUCUUCCGUACUACCUCAGCUACUUCGCCGGCGUAUGAGCCCGCCGUUGAGCGGAGGCGGUUCGUGACAACGGGACGAUGACGGCGUGCGUUUGAGUCUGCACCUCAGCCCGCCCCACUCUCCCGGCAGACUUGUUCUUCUUUUCGAUGUACACUGGAUGUCCUUCUCACCCCUCUUACGAUGCAACAAGAGCGGCCGUGCGGGUGUGCCGCUUUCCUUCUCUCCUGCCCUCCCCCCUCCCUCCGGUCGUUCGG